UACGUAGGGUGCAAGCGUUUGUCCGGAAUUAUUGGGCGUAAAGAGCUCGUAGGUGGCCUGUCGCGUCGGCUGUGAAAACUCGGGGCUCAACUCCGAGCUUGCAGUCGAUACGGGCAGGCUAGAGUUCGGCAGGGGAGACUGGAAUUCCUGGUGUAGCGGUGAAAUGCGCAGAUAUCAGGAGGAACACCAAUGGCGAAGGCAGCUCGCUGGGACGGUACUGACGCUGAGACGCGAAAGCGUGGGGAGCGAACAGG
rnacentral:rRNA from 1 species